rnacentral:rRNA from 1 species
GAUGAACGCUGGCGGCGUGCUUAACACAUGCAAGUCGAACGGAAAGGCCCAAGCUUGCUUGGGUACUCGAGUGGCGAACGGGUGAGUAACACGUGGGUGAUCUGCCCUGCACUUCGGGAUAAGCCUGGGAAACUGGGUCUAAUACCGGAUAGGACCACAUUUUGGAUGGUGUGGUGGAAAGUUUUUCGGUGUGGGAUGAGCUCGCGGCCUAUCAGCUUGUUGGUGGGGUAAUGGCCUACCAAGGCGUCGACGGGUAGCCGGCCUGAGAGGGUGUACGGCCACAUUGGGACUGAGAGACGGCCCAGACUCCUACGGGAGGCAGCAGUGGGGAAUAUUGCACAAUGGGCGCAAGCCUGAUGCAGCGACGCCGCGUGGGGGAUGACGGCCUUCGGGUUGUAAACUCCUUUCGCUAGGGGCGAAGCGUUUUUGUGACGGUACCUGGAGAAGAAGCACCGGCUAACUACGUG